rnacentral:lncRNA from 1 species
CUGCUGUGUACUGUGAUAGAAUUGGAGGUAAUGUACUUGUCCGACUUGAGAUCUUUCCUCGAACGUGGUGGAGAGAAGAUUGCGCUUAUUGCUCUCCACAUCAAAUAUUCAUCCGGUGGGAUAGGGGUUUUUAUAGUCAGGUCCAGAUGGUCGCCCCUCCUCACCCCAUUUUUUUUCCAAAAAAAAAAUCCCUUUACUCGAACC